rnacentral:rRNA from 1 species
CGAUGAUACAUAGCCCGAGUUGAGAGACUGAUCGGGCCACAUUGGGGACUGAGACACGGGCCCAAACUCCUACGGGAGGCAGCAGUAGGGAAUCUUCCACAAUGGACGCAAGUCUGAUGGAGCAAACGCCGCGUGAGUGAAGAAGGGUUUCGGCUCGUAAAAAGCUCUGUUGUUGGUGAAGAAGGACAGGGGUAGUAACUAGACCCGUUUCGUUUUGUACGGUAAGUACUAAUUAGAAAGUCACGGGCUAACUACGUGCCAGCAGCCGCGGUAAAU